GCUGGGCAUGGUGGUGCAUGCCUGUAAUCCCAAGAGCUAGGGAGGCUGAGAUAAGAGGAUUGAAGUUUGAGGCCAGUAUCGGCAACUUAGCGGGGCUCUAAAUAACUCUGAAAGACCCUAUCUGUA
rnacentral:sRNA from 1 species